rnacentral:rRNA from 1 species
UUAUGGCUCAGAACGAACGCUGGCGGCAGGCUUAACACAUGCAAGUUGAACGGGAUUGCUAAGUGCUUGCACGGAGCAAUGAGAGUAGCGCACUGGUGAGUAACACGUGGGAACAUGCCUUUUGGUGGGGGACAACAGAGGGAAACUUCUGCUAAUACCGCAUAAGCCCUAAGGGGGAAAGAUUAAUUGCCGAAAAGAUUGGCCCGCGGAAGAUUAGGUAGUUGGUGGGGUAAAGGCCUACCAAGCCGACGAUCUAUAGCUGGUCUGAGAGGACGAACAGCCACAUUGGAACUGAGACACGGUCCAGACUCCUACGGGAGGCAGCAGUGAGGAAUAUUGGGCAAUGGAGGAAACUCUGAACCCCAGCCAUGCCGCGUGAGUGAAGAAGGUUUUCGAAUUGUAAAGCUCUUUCGGAUACGAGGAUGAUGACGGUAGUAUCUAAAGAAGCCCCGGCAAACUUCGUGCCAGCCGCCGC